rnacentral:rRNA from 1 species
GGCUAACGCUGGCGGCGUGUCUUAGCCAUGCAAGUCGAGCGGACUUAUGGGGUAACUUAUAAGUCAGCGGCGGACGGCGGAGUAACACGUAGCUAACCUACCCUCUGGACGGGGAUAACCUACCGAAAGGUGGGCUAAUACCCGAUGUAGUCAUCCUGUAUAGGGGUGAUGAAAGGUGGGCUUCUGUUUACAAGCUCAUGCUGGAGGAGGGGGCUGCGGCCUAUCAGGUAGUUGGUAGGGUAAUAGCCUACCAAGCCGAUGACGGGUAGCCGGCCUGAGAGGGUGACCGGCCCGAGGGGCACUGAGAUACGGGUCCCACUCCUACGGGAGGCAGCAGGCUAGAAAUUUGGGCAAUGGGGGAAACCCUGGCCCAGUGACGCCGCGUGCAGGAAGGAGCCCUUCGGGGUGUAAACUGCUGUCGUGUAGGGAGAAGGGUACUAAGGUGAACAAUCUUAGUACUUGACGGUACUACAGGAGGAAGCCCAGGCUAACCUCGUG